GAAGCCGCGAGGCCAGGCUGAAAGAAGCGCGUAGCAAAAGCACGACCGUAGGAACACGAACAAGCAGAGAGGCCGGGUGCGGGCGAUGAGUGUGCUAGGGAACACGAAAUCCAACCGUUACCGAAAGACGCAUCAGGUAGAGCUUGACGGCACGGGCAGAAAGUUUUAGUC
rfam:Methylomicrobium album BG8 chromosome, whole genome shotgun sequence.